rnacentral:lncRNA from 1 species
GGAAAGGCUUCCGGGUCCUGUCGGCCUUCCUCACACACCGGGGGCUCCACGCUGCCGCCCAGCUCUGAGGGCCAGCCGGAGGCGGGCCUAGGACAGGGGCUACACGGGCUCCUAAGUGCUUGCCGAUGGCUUCUGGCCGAUCCCUUUCCCAGACCGUCCUGCCCCGCCCCCCAGUGGGACCUUCCUCCCUGCCAGCGGGGCCAGUGGCCUUCUCCGGCCUUCUCCAAGCGGCUGGGCCAGAGCCUUUGGUCCCCGCUUUAGGACCCCUCCCAUCAUUUCUUUCCCCUUUAUGGGAAAAGAGAGAAGACUAAGGAGAGACUCUGGGGCCUCCUCCCUGACCUUGCUUUUCUGCUGCAGGGGGGCAGGCCCGUGGCCUUGCUGUGGCCCCAAACUCUGGUGUGUGUGUGGGAGAGGCCAGGGUUCCGGAGGCAGCCCCUCUCCCAUCUGUGAGUCCUGAUACUCGCUGCCGCCUCCUCUUCCUCCUCUGUCCCCGGGGUGCUCUGAGGCUCCCAGAGAACCCCGGGGGAGCAGGGAAUAGCCUGUGGACACACAGCUUGGAAGCCUCUGGGACUUGCCCCCCACUCGGUGAUACCUGAGAGCUCCUCAGGGCAGGGCCCCUCUCCAGGGAUGCAGGCCCAUCAGUUCCCGCCUCUGCUGCCUCCAUGGAGGAUUGGCCCCCAAAGCCCAGGAUGCUGAUAGGCAAGAAAGGACUCCUCUUGCCGGGACCAGGGCAGGGGCUGCUCGACAGCCAGUCCAGGAGCAGCCUGCCUCCCCAGCAGCCCUUCCCCCGGCCUUUCCAUGGCACACAUCCCCUCAGCUCUCCCAAAGGCUCCCCACAAAGGAGAGGCUCCCCUAGAGGAUGCCUCCUCUCUGCUGCAAAAUAGACAGCCAGCAAGCGAUAUCGGAUUCCAGUGUAGGUUAAACAUGUGCAUUUCUUCUAAACAUAUUUCACAAGAAAAGGAGGAAAAAACCAUGAGAAAGGGGGGAACCGAGCGAACAACGAAGGGUGCAAAUCUCUGCUGGUCCACAUGCGGUGCCCGUGGGCCUCUCUGCCCGCAGAUGGUACUUUCCAUCCCAAGUCGACUGGAACCGCCUUGAACCAGCUCAUUGUUGAAAAGGGCUGAGUCCCUCGCAGCAGGUCGUCAUAAUGCUGUGGCCGUGUACCAUGAUCUCCUGGCUCUGCUCACUGCCCUGGGCAUCGGUUCCUGUAAGUCUCUCCAGCUUCUCCAAAAGCAGCCGCUGGUCAUUUCCUUCAGAACAAUAUUCUUCUAUGUUCAUUUACAGUAACUUGGGCCUCCACUCAGUGUCCAGUUCCUCGCCAUUACAACCAAUUUGGCGCGUGGGGGCCACUUUCCCUUUUCUAUGCUCGUUUGGUAGGGACGCGGCUGGAGGAAAGGACCCUGACCCGCUUUAUCCUUCCCCAGAGGCUCCUUCCUGUGGCACUCGGAGCCCUCCCAGUCCCCCCCCCACUCCCACUCCCACUCCCCUGGCCAGUCUGGGAAUACCUACCUCACAGCAGCUCCCCCGAAGCUGCCCGGACAGCCGGCUACCUCACACUGUCCUGUUUCAGCUCCGAGACACCAAGCUCAGUUCCCAUUUGGAUGUAAGCUCUUGGAGGCCGGGGACCAUUUGCCUUUGUGUCCCCAGGCCAAGGGUGGAGGGUGCCUGGGUUACCGGAAGCACUUAAGGGGCGGCUGGGCUGGGCAGCGGAGAGAAUGCCAGGCUGCAGUUUAAAUCCGACCUCGCUUCCCAGCUGUGUGAUGCUGGACAGUCACUUCACCCCGUCUGCCUCUGUUUCCUCAUCUGUAAAAUGAGCCGCAGAAGGAAAUGGCCAAACCCUUCCAGUGUCUCUGCCAAGAAAACCCCAAAUGGGGCCAUGUGAACA